GUUUUUAUAGUUUAAAUAUAAAACAUUAAUUUUGUAAAUUAAAAAUAAUAAAUUAUUUAAAAACU
rnacentral:tRNA from 1 species